rnacentral:rRNA from 1 species
UUUCGCAAUGCCCGAAAGGGUGACGAAGCGACGCCGCGCGUGGGAAGAAGGCCUUCGGGUUGUAAACCACUGUCGGGAGUUAGGAAAUGCAGGUGCGUUAAUAGCGUUCUUACUUGACUAAGGCUCCGGAGGAAGCCACGGCUAACUCUGUGCCAGCAGCCGCGGUAAUACAGAGGCGGCAAGCGUUGUUCGGAAUUAUUGGGCGUAAAGAGCACGUAGGCGGCCUUGCAAGUCAGUUGUGAAAGCCUUCUGCUUAACAGAAGUACAGCAUCUGAUACUACAGGGCUAGAGUGCGGGAGUGGAGAGUGGAACUUCUGGUGGAGCUGUGAAAUGCGUAGAUAUCAGAAGGAACGCCGGCGGCGAAAGCGACUCUCUGGCCCGUAACUGACGCUGAGUGUGCGAAAGCUAGGGGAUCAAACGGGAUUAGAUACCCCGGUAGUCCUAGCCGUAUACGAUGGGCACUAAGUAGAGGGGUUUU